rnacentral:miRNA from 1 species
GUCAGUCACCAGGUACGGCUGACAGAGGCCCGGGUCCGCAGAACGCUGCGGACCCGGGCCUCUGUCGUACCCGCGGCUCAGA